rnacentral:rRNA from 1 species
AACGAACGCUGGCGGCAUGCCUAACACAUGCAAGUCGAACGAGACCUUCGGGUCUAGUGGCGCACGGGUGCGUAACGCGUGGGAACCUGCCCUUAGGUUCGGAAUAACUCCCCGAAAGGGGUGCUAAUACCGGAUAAUGUCUUCGGACCAAAGAUUUAUCGCCCUUGGAUGGGCCCGCGUUGGAUUAGCUAGUUGGUAGGGUAAAAGCCUACCAAGGCGACGAUCCAUAGCUGGUCUGAGAGGAUGAUCAGCCACACUGGGACUGAGACACGGCCCAGACUCCUACGGGAGGCAGCAGUGGGGAAUAUUGGAAAAUGGGCGAAAGCCUGAUCCAGCUAUGCCGCGUGAGUGAUGAAGGCCUUAGGGUUGUAAAGCUCUUUUACCCGGGAUGAUAAUGACAGUACCGGGAGAAUAAGCACCGGCUAACUCCGUG